rnacentral:rRNA from 1 species
AUUGAACGCUGGCGGCAGGCCUAACACAUGCAAGUCGAGCGAGCGGCGGACGGGUGAGUAAUGUAUGGGGACUGCCCGAUAGAGGGGGAUAACUACUUGAAACGGUAGCUAAUACCGCAUACUAUCGGACAACCCAUAUGGGAUGAGCUAGUAGGGGAGGUAAUGGCUCACAAAGGCAACGAUCCGUAGCUGGGUUGAGAGGACGACCAGCCAAACUGGGACUGAGACAGGGCCAAGACUCCUACGGAGGAAGCAGUGGGGAAUUUUGGACAAUGGGGGAAACCCUGAUCCAGCCAUCCCGCGUGUAGGAUGAAGGCCUUCGGGUUGGAAAGUACUUUUGGAAGAGAGGCGGUAUCUGCAGAGUAAGCACCGGCUAACUACGGGCCAGCAGCCGCGGUAAUAC